GGCACACGCCUCUUUCUCCUUCCUCCCUCACGUUUUUCUCUGUGAAACAAGAAAUGGAAGAACAAACUCCCUCCUCAUUUACAGCAAACAACAACAACACAUCUCUAUCUCGUCCCUUUUGCUCUCGGCCCUUCUUACUCGAUGGUGAACAACACACAGCGACUUCCUCUCUCAAUCUCAUGCAAACGAAAGAACAAUCAGUAAGGACAAAUCCUCCCCUUUCUCUCGAUCGUUCAUGGCUUUCUAUAUUCUCGGUGAACAACUAACAACAGCGGUGUUUAUUUUGAUUCCAACAUGGUGGCUUUUCGUCCUAAUCAUCAUUUCUUCCGCGAACGACAACAACAAAGACGCUCUCUCUCGGUUCUCUCUCGGAACAACAAGAAUAACAACCUUCGAAUUUUCGGCGGCCAUAGAACAAGAACCAGAGGAAAAAUCUAGGUAUAACAUAUUCACAACAAUAAUUUAUCAGUAACUUUGGAAGUGAAAGCGUGAAAACUUACCUGCGGCGUGGAGGUUUUCGCCGGUUAUUGUUGAGGUAUAACAACGGUUAGUGUAAAUAUUGAGAACGAAGAAGAGAUACUUACCUGCGGCGAAGAUGUUGAAGUUUCAUCUAUGGGGGCUCGAAGAUUAGAGCCAUCGUUGAAGAGCUACCGGCCAGCAAGGUAUGAAUGCUUCUCUCCUCCCUCCUACUUUUGAAUUUUUUCUGUAACUUAGAAGUUACCUACUGCUGGCUGCACUUUUCCCCCACCUUUUUCUUCUCCUUUUGUAUUUUGUAACUUAGAAGUUACAGAAUAUUUCUCUGUGAACUCUCCCCUUUUUCUGCCUGUUCUAUUUUGUUUGCCUCUCUUCUAUAUAUAGAGGAAGAAAUAAGGGAUAUCUUUGGUCAUUUUGGCAACUAAACUUAGCCUUUAAGCUCACUUAGUUGUUAAGUUGUCAUCAUUACAAAGAAUAUUCUUUCCCAAAAUAAUCAUUGCAAAAUUUCUUACAUGCUAAGUUUGCUUAAUGGCAAAGCUCCACAAAUUUGUGCACAUGGGAGGAAUAUGCACAUGGGAUGGAAAGAUUCUCUUGUGACUCUUGCAAGUUCCACGAUACAGCAUUUUAUGUCAUAACAAGUUAGUAAGCUUCUAAGUGUAGUAUGACAUAAAAAUAUCUUCUUGACUUUGUUUGACUUUUUGGACUUUUCUUUUUCCCUUUUUUUUUCGGAAAAUAUGGCCUCCAUGUGGGCCUUUGGGCUUUUUCUUGAAUUAUUUAUUUUCUUUGUCUUUCUUUGACUUUUUGACAUUUGAACUUUUGCUAAUUUCACCCCUUUUAUGUUUCUCUUUUUUUUCAUGUCACAUGAGGACUUUUGAAGAAAACAUGAAGAAGGAGACUUGGACAUCAAGAAUGGAUGCUUUGAAGAUUUCAAGAAUGAAUUCAAGAAUUUCUUUUAUCCUUGUAAUUCCAAAAGAAUUUGUAUGAACUUGUAUUCUUGGAACUUUGAAUGUUGUAUCUUGAAUUUUGAAUAUAGUCCACUUUGUAAUUCAUUUAGAAUUUGGUUCAUGUAAAAGAA